rnacentral:rRNA from 1 species
UACGUAGGGCGCAAGCGUUGUCCGGAAUUACUGGGCGUAAAGGGCGCGCAGGCGGCUGCUCAAGUCAGGCGUGAAAGGCCUGGGCUCAACCCGGGAAUUGCGCUUGAGACUGGGCUGGCUUGAGUGCGGGAGAGGAUGGUGGAAUUCCUGGUGUAGCGGUGAAAUGCGCAGAUAUCAGGAGGAACACCGAUGGCGAAGGCAGGUCUCUGGGCAUUAACUGACGCUGAGGAGCGAAAGCAUGGGGAGCGAACAGG